AUUGAACGCUGGCGGCAGGCCUAACACAUGCAAGUCGAGCGGAUGAGUGGAGCUUGCUCCAUGAUUCAGCGGCGGACGGGUGAGUAAUGCCUAGGAAUCUGCCUGGUAGUGGGGGACAACGUUUCGAAAGGAACGCUAAUACCGCAUACGUCCUACGGGAGAAAGCAGGGGACCUUCGGGCCUUGCGCUAUCAGAUGAGCCUAGGUCGGAUUAGCUAGUAGGUGAGGUAAUGGCUCACCUAGGCGACGAUCCGUAACUGGUCUGAGAGGAUGAUCAGUCACACUGGAACUGAGACACGGUCCAGACUCCUACGGGAGGCAGCAGUGGGGAAUAUUGGACAAUGGGCGAAAGCCUGAUCCAGCCAUGCCGCGUGUGUGAAGAAGGUCUUCGGAUUGUAAAGCACUUUAAGUUGGGUAGGAAGGGCAGUAAGUUAAUACCUUGCUGUUUGUACGUUACCAACGGAAUAAGCACCGGCUAACUUCGUG
rnacentral:rRNA from 1 species